CCCGCCGGCGACCGGUGCACGGGUGAGUAACACGUAUGAAACCUGCCCGUAGCAGGGGGAUAAGCGGAAGAAAUUCCGUCUAAUACCGCGUAACAACCCAUGGAGGCAUCUCUGUGGGUUUAAAGGAAGCGAUUCCGGCUACGGAUGGUCAUGCGUCGCAUUAGCUUGUUGGCGGGGUAACGGCCCACCAAGGCGACGAUGCGUAGGGGUUCUGAGAGGAAGGUCCCCCACACUGGUACUGAGACACGGACCAGACUCCUACGGGAGGCAGCAG
rnacentral:rRNA from 1 species